UGGGGAAUAUUGCACAAUGGGCGCAAGCCUGAUGCAGCGACGCCGCGUGGGGGAUGACGGCCUUCGGGUUGUAAACUCCUUUCGCUUGGGACGAAGCUUUUUGUGACGGUACCUAGAUAAGAAGCACCGGCUAACUACGUGCCAGCAGCCGCGGUAAUACGUAGGGUGCGAGCGUUGUCCGGAAUUACUGGGCGUAAAGGGCUCGUAGGUGGUUUGUCACGUCGUCUGUGAAAUUCCGGGGCUUAACUCCGGGCGUGCAGGCGAUACGGGCAUAACUUGAGUACUGUAGGGGUAACGGGAAUUCCUGGUGUAGCGGUGAAAUGCGCAGAUAUCAGGAGGAACACCGAUGGCGAAGGCAGGUUACUGGGCAGUUACUGACGCUGAGGAGCGAAAGCAUGGGUAGCGAACAGG
rnacentral:rRNA from 1 species